CCUACGGGGGGCAGCAGUGGGGAAUCUUGCGCAAUGGGCGAAAGCCUGACGCAGCGACGCCGCGUGCGGGAUGAAUGCCUUCGGGUUGUAAACCGCUUUCAGCAGGGACGCGGUACCUGCAGAAGAAGCCCCGGCCAACUACGUGCCAGCAGCCGCGGUAAUACGUAGGGGGCAAGCGUUGUCCGGAAUUAUUGGGCGUAAAGAGCUCGUAGGCGGUUGGGCAAGUCACGUGUGAAAUCUCCACGCUCAACGUGGAGGCGUCACGUGAGACUGCCUGACUCGAGUCCGGUAGAGGAGCGUGGAAUUCCCGGUGUAGCGGUGAAAUGCGCAGAGAUCGGGAGGAACACCCGUAGCGAAGGCGGCGCUCUGGGCCGGACUGACGCUGAGGAGCGAAAGCGUGGGGAGCAAACAGGAUUAGAUACCCUUGUAGUC
rnacentral:rRNA from 1 species